UACGGGGGGGGGCAAGCGUUUGUUCGGAAUUACUGGGCGUAAAGGGCUCGUAGGCGGCCAACUAAGUCGGAUGUGAAAUCCCCAGGCUUAACCUGGGAACUGCAUCCGAUACUGGAUGGCUUGAAUCCGGGAGAGGGAUGCAGAAUUCCAGGUGUAGCGGUGAAAUGCGUAGAUAUCUGGAGGAACACCCGUGGCGAAGGCGGCUCUCUGGGACGGUACUGACGCUGAGACGCGAAAGCGUGGGGGAGCGAACAGG
rnacentral:rRNA from 1 species